ensembl:lncRNA
CGCGGUGGUGGGGUCUGCGGUGAUAAAAGCGGUUUUAUGGGGGUUUUUCUUCUGGCUGCUCGUCCCCGGGCGAAGCUGGUAGCGAAGGAGGGUUUGAGCAGGAUGCAGGUGGUUGCAGACUAAAGGAGGCUUUCCCUUCUCCGGCGGACCGAUCUGUGGCAAAGAAGUAAGAACCUCAGGCUGCCUGAAUGAAGUUUCCUUAUAAGAGUACUCCAGUGCUAAUGAUGACAACAGUGAAGGAACCAGCAAUUCAAUACUGGAGGGUGCUGCGGAGGGAACAUUGACAUAAGGGCAGGCAGCACUCAGCUCCCAGACCUGCACUGUGAUCCAUCUGUCCUGCAGAGAACUGGCUCUGCUUCUUACAAGUGCCACAUAACACCUGGAGGGCUAUGGUGGCAUUCACUCAAACCCCAUCUGGUCAAGGAAGAAACGGCAUAUUCUCCUUAGUGCUGCUCUCUCCACACCUUUAUGUCAGACCACUUCUGUGCCAGGGUCUGCCAGCUCAGUACUCAUUAUCCACGUAAGGGAGAGAGCAGGGCCCAAACAGGAGAGGCUCUGGAUGUGACCAUCAUGCAGAUCGUUUCAUGGUGACCCAGCGGGAGAACCAAGGCCAGACUCAGAGGUUAGCAGUUCAUAACGGGUAAAGAGAAGUUUAAAUUUCUGAAUUAUAAAGUUGUAAAAAAGAUUCAAAGGGAAGUAAGGGCAUCCUCAGCCCACUCUUUGAUAGUACAAUACAUAAAAACCAGAUUUUGUAGGAGUAUAAUAAAAGAUUGUAUAGGAGUAUAAUAAAACCCAGACACAAGUCUGAAAAAUUCAUUAGUUUCUGCCAUGACUAAAAUAAGCACUGUCUAUGAAAACUACUUUGCAAUGGUAAUGAAAAGCAAGUGGAAAAGCAAGUGUUAGCACCAGUGCUGUGACGUGAAAUAAUUUCUGUAUACUCAGAUCUGUCAUUGUGAACAAUGUUGUUGAUUAUAAACUACAUCAAAUUCUCAGUCUCCCCCAAAACAUGUAUUUUAUUUUGCAGUUUUUGUGGUAAUUAUGAAAUCAACAGAAUACUAUCUAGUUUUACCACAAUUAAGCUAAAUACAUACUUUUAGAUGAUGUAAAAAAUACUUGGUAAUGGUAAUGUCUCCAUCACAGUAACUUCCACCCUAGAACAAGCGACAAUGUUUCUUAUGCGUUUUUAGGGGUGGCAUUUAAUGAUAAUGGUGAUUUUCAGCUUUCCCAAGAGUUUUACAAUUUAGCAGGUACUUGGAUGCAAUUUAUAAUCAAGAUUUGACCUGCAGAGCUUCAUUUAUUGUUACUCGAUAAGAGAAGCCUCCAAGAUUUGAAUGAAUCUCGUGGCCCUUUCAGCGUGCAUGAGUAUGAUGGAAGGGACGAUGACACAGACUUAUGGCACUGCAAGCAGCUCUCUGAAAACAGGUUUAUAUCCCAUCACUUGUGAGAUAGUGUUUGCUCGUAAAGCUGUUACCAUGUCAUUGUGCUGAAGACCUCUGGGCUCAAGGAAAUUGAGAUGCUUGUCCUAGGCACUCUGCGCAAGAGUGGCCGCGUGGUAUUUUGGUUCAACCACUGCUGCUUGCUCAGGACUGAAGGUCUGGGCAGGGUGUUGUGUCCAUGGUGGGCAUGGGGGCAACAGCGCAACAGCUAUAUGUCAGCACUGUUGUAGUUUUAGUUAGUGAUUGGUUACUGCUGGUCUGGCCACCACAACUGAGUGAAUGCUCCAAAGUAUUGUUUACAGAGACUGAGGUAAAGACCCUGACUGUUCAGAAGAAAAGGUAAGACAAGCUUUAACCACUAACUUUACAUUUAUAUUUAUUUCAGAAAAACAAAAAACAAUUAGAAAAAAGAAACACUGCAGUUUAAUAGAACCAGUGACACAAACAAAAUGUGGACUCGAGAACAGCAAGUGGCAACUAAGGUAAUGAUAGAACUGCUUCACAAAUAAUUCGCUGUUUAGAGCAUCUUACAGAGUGAGAUUGUAUCCUUUUGUUAUGCAAUAUAAAAUCAGAUAAGCAUUUGCUGUAACAAAAGUUAUUUACAGUCACAUAAUUUUGAACAACAAGCACAUGACCUUUGAAAUUAGAUUGGUUAAAGUUUUCCAAAAAGUUAAAAGUUAAAGUUUGCCUGGCUUGAGUCAGUGGGAGAUUCCCUUCAACUUCAGUGGGGCUGUUGAAAAUCCUACCCUUCGCUGAUUGUUUGUAGAUAGGGCUGAUGCUUCCUACCUCUUCUUAAAUAUGCUGUUUCAAUUCUAUUUGACCUUUCUUACCUGUAUGAUACCAUUUGACUGAGUAGUUUACUAUCUUAUUGAAUACUAACUUCAUCAUUUGCUUCAGUAAUUGCCUUUUUUAUAGGUUAGAUAUGGGCAAAGACCAGACAAAGCAGAAACAGAUCCCAUCUACUUCAAAUACUGUCUGGCUAGCCAUAGUCAUAAGCUAUGUUCAGUUAGUAUUCAGAAUACUGCUGACUCCUUUCCUAUACCUUCAUAAAAAAGUAUGUCAUAAGGAUAUUAUAGUGAUCGUAUUUAAAAUUAUUUUUCUGUAUUGAAAUAGAGUUGACAAGUAAAGGAGUUUAUACUGAAGAAUUUAAGGUUUGGGUUUUAUAAAUGUAAUGGCACCGUAUUUUUUAAUGUUAAGCUAUAUUUGUUAUAUAAGCUAUAUAAGUUGAUAUAUUUUGGAGCAAGUGAAAAUGUUUGAAUUCCUUUCAGAAUGUAAAAUUGUCGCCAGAGUUUUAAAAGCAGCUCUUUGCAGGCCCAACACCUGGAAAAUAAAACUUUGGGAAAAGUAAAGGAAAAGGAACAUCAGUCUUUCCUCAAAGACUUCUAAGCAACAGUAAAGAAAAGCAAAAACAUUUAGACUUUCACUUUUUUAAUGCAGUCUGAAAGCACAACAGCGUUCUAGUUUGUCGAUUUACAUUUGUCUGUUGCCUUUUCCUGCUACCAUCAGCACAGUUAGAUGGUAAGUGAAGUCCCUUGGGCGUGUUAUGGUGAAUAGAACCCUCAAAAACCUUUUAUUUUCUCUUCUCUUUACAAGACAGCGCAUUCUCUAUUCUCAAGAUCAUCUUCGUGAAAGUAUCCAUGGGAUGACUGCUGAAGAAACAAGAGGAACUAACAGAGAAAAGGUAAUUAUAAGAAAAAGUGAAUUGCUAGACAUAUGUGGAUGCAGAUUUAUUACACUGGAUGUGCAUUUUUCACUCUCUACGUGAGAUAGUUUCCUCAACUUAGCUACAAAGAAAACAUGGAAGGGAUUGAUUUUGUCUGUUAGAAGAUUUCUGCUUACACUGGACUCUGAGAUUAGUCUGUUGCUUUCCCUGGGUGGCUUCUUACUAUUGCCCUUCUACAUUGAGAGCUCCUCUGUCAUAUCUUGUGUGAUGUCCAGACACCUUCUCCAUAGAUCAAAGGUUGGCAGCCUGUUUUUUAAGCCUUUUUUUUUCCAAUUACUUGCAUGUACAACAGGUGCUGAGGCUCAUUUGUUUUGUUUGUUUCUACCAUUUUGACCCUUCAGUGUAAAUAUGGCUAAGGUUUUAAACCAACUAGAGCAGCACUGAGUGCAGCAUAAGUUAAUCUCCUUGAUUUUUUUCGACAUUCUGAAUGGAUUUUGUAGCUUGAACUGUGCUCUGUGCUUCUGAAGACAGACUGCUACCAUUGCUGGAUGUGACUGCUUUACACAGUGUUUGCCUACAGCCCCAUUACGCAGCACUCACAAACUGUUGUAGAGACACAGGCUAAGAAAUGGCAUACCAUGAGUACAAAUACCCACGGUUAGGGUUAACAGCCUUUUUGAAGAUGCAUUGACCAGUUCAGGGGAGCACUUUUCAGAGAUCUGCCUAAACAAGUUUUGUGAUAGAAUUUAAAAGAAAAAAAAAAAUCCAGCACCUCAAGUCUAUAGCACAAUACCCUUUUCCUGUCUGCUUAUCUUCCUUUCCAUUGGCAUGAAGUUAAAGUAGAAACCCAGGCUCAGUGUCAUACAGCUUAAUAAAUUUUAUAGAAGAUACUGUUCGAGAAAAAACUUACUGCGUCUUUUAGAUGAUUGACAAUUUAGGAAGUCAGAAUUUCAGGCUUUUAAGUCUUUCUCCAUUGAACAUAAUUAAACAUUAACCAAUUUUGCUAGUGUACCAUAAUUUUUAUAGGCUGCUUUAAAGCCCUGGUUUCUCUGCCAGGACAUAUGCUAGACAAGACUGCACUUUGCUUUGUUUGAAGAACCCAGGUACUGCAAGCCAAGGCUCCUGUGAUGAGUUUGUGCUCAUAAACACUGACCUGCUCACAAAGAGAAGGAAUAUUUGCCUGUUGCUUUCUGUAUUAAAAUACUAACUUGGACUACAGGAGCCUCCUUCUGCUCUGCCCCUCUCAAAGCUGGAUUUUUCUGUCCUGAGAGUCCCCAUUGAGUCAGAGCAGAGACCUGGCCUGCCACACCCAACACCGUAUCCAUCCCAUGUAUGCUGUUUCCAUCCUUUGUAGUACUUUUUAGAAACAGCAAAGACAGGAGAGAAAAAAAAGAAAAACAGAGUCUCGGUGGGAAUAGUCCAGCUGCUUCAGUUUUGACCGACAACUUAAACUAAGUGUAGAUGUCAGUAUGAGGGGUAAGCUAGUGAGAAAUCAGCCCAUAUGUGCUCUUAGUCACCUGUGAGCAGUAGGGGUAGGUCUUGAAAAGUUGACUUUAAAAGAUUAUAACCAUAAGAAUGUGAUGGGUCCAAUACAUUUGUAUUUAGUGUGACCACAUAACUGUAAAAUAAAGGAAAUUCCUAAAGGAAAUGUUUUUGUCACAUAAACACUGAGCCACAGCAAACACAUCUGGCAAAGCUGAAGAUCCAGCUCCCUAGACUGAGCAUCAGAAUACCAUAAAUAAUGUCAAGAGGCAGAAAUGGGGCUGUCAGAUACUGCUACUGUCAUUAUCCUAUUACACUGAAUAACCAUGAGCUUUACUUGUUUAUGGAAACUGUCAAUUGAUAUUUUAAUCUGUAAGUGAAGAAAACAUUACUAUUUUACUAUAUAAUCAUUGAAGCUAAUCUGUUUUCAGCAAGGUCAUUAUUUACACUACUUCCUUUGUAAUCCCUCACAUACACACACAGAAAAAGGCUCUGAAGCUUAAUCUUUCCAGUGCUGAAAAUGAGACUUUUAUGCAAACUGAUAAAAGUUCUUUGUUUGAUUUAUUUGUAAACCAAAAUAGUCUGGUAGUUUGCCUUGAAGUGAAAAGGAAAAAAAACAUGCUCUGUCAAAUCCCGUGCAUUCCUUUUUAUGUAUUUUGUCAUUUCCCCUCUAUUAACUCUGUCCUAAGGUAGAAAGAAGAGUCCACUCUAGCUUGUAUUUGCAUACUGUACUUUAGCUUUGACUUUCUAGGUUGAGCCUGUUAAAUUUAUUGACUGUAAGCCCCUUGAGCUAUUGAGGAGUGUGCAGCUUACAUUGUAUAUCUUUUGAAAGACGAUUCUGGUAGCCCGUUAUCUCUCCAGAUACAAUUUGUCUUACAUAUUCAUGGGUUUUUAGUGCCAGGACCAGUUCCUUCGUUGUAGCUAUUGUUUGGAAUUCUUGCACAGAUAUUAAGGCUUAGUAAUUUUUCAGUGCUGCUCAAGGGAUCCGAGUGUCAAAUGGAAUAACGAGUGGGAGUUUGGGCAGUGAAAACCCCUAAGCAGCUGGCUUUGGAGAUCUUGGUAAAACAAUAAAGGACAAUAAUCUGAGAUGGCAUGAAAGAAACUUUGAGGUGUCUAGGAUAUUUUGUAUGUACAAAUAGAGCUGGCCAGCAUGUAAUACUUUCCAUUCAUUAGCAAUUACAUUUCAUUUUAAUUUCAAGAUUUUAUGCCUGAACGUCAGAGAAAAUUUCAUUUGAGAAACAUCAGUGCAGGGACCUGGGAAAACAAAAUAUGUUCCCCUUCCUGCUACAGCUGUUUUUCUUAGCAGUAGAGCUGACCAGAAUAUUGAUUUCAUUAGGAAAGGGCUUAAGGUGGAAAGAUCUGUAUUCAGGUUAAAGUCAGGGAUUUCAAGUCCUCAGUUUCAUAGGUGACACCAAAAGCCAUGGUUGCCCUCUGGCACUUUGAGGCCUCUGGCUCCCAGGGCUCACCCACAGGGUCUCUCCAGAGUGCAGGAAUAUGAAGUUUCAGAUGCCAUGAUUCUGGCUUCCCAGUCCUUCCCCAUGCCCUGACAGAGCAGGAUGAUUCAGAGCCUGAAUGGCUGCUGUUCUGCAAGGCAGACAUUGAUGUGUCAGUCAAUACAGGCACAUUCUGCCUAGUUUUGGAGCUGACAAGGUUGGAUACCAUGAGCAGCACAGAUUUAAAAGUACAGAAGGCUGGGGACUGGGAAUCCUACCUAAGGACUUCCAGCUAUACGUAUCCCACCUGGUUAGCUUGAAAGUUAGCCAGAAUAUAUCUACAUCAGGAGCUAUCAUGCCAAAAUCUGUUGUGCAUCUGUGACAGAACUUGGGCUUCUAUUCAGAUCUUCUGCAUCCUGCUCCAGAUGUGAUUGCUCAUCAUUUGAUCUGAGAUAAAAAUAAGCAGCAGUGUACUUUCAUCUCCAGAAAGUGCAUACCAAAAGUCAAAUUCUCUUUCUGGGAAAGCUGUGAGAACAGCCCUGGAGCUGCAAGACACGAACUUCACCUGAAGUGAGGCACAGGUCAGGUCUCUGACUGCUGCAGUCGGUGUUCCAUGCCACACUGCAAGACUGGUGUCAGACUUCCAGGUAUUCUGCCCCGAUGCUCGUCUCUUCAGAAUCAGGUUUUGCAAGGAGCAUCCGUGGCUUCAACAGGUACAGAAAAAAAAAGAUAAUUCAGUCAAUGUUUCAUUAUGGCAAACACUGCUAAUUUUAUUUUGACUUUCUGUGGAAAAACACAGGGAUGUGAUGGUGUUCCCAUUUACAGGUUUAAAUCUUUCAUGGCACUAGCAUCAACAUGAGGGAGAUCUUCCCUUACAAGCAAGCUAGGGUUGCCCAAAACAUUUGUAAUGGCCUAAAAUGUGAACAAAGAAAGUCCCAUAUAAACACUGGGAAGAACUUCUUUACGAUAAGGCUGAUGGAGCACUGGAACAGGCUGCACAGAGGGGUGGUAGAAUCACUUUCUGUGGAGCUAUUCAAGACCUGUCUGGAUGCUUACCUGUGCUACCUAUUGCAGGGCACGUGCUCUAGAAGGGGGUUGGACUCGAUGAUUACCUCUUGAAGUCCCUUCCAAUCCCUGCAAUCCCGUGAUUCUGUGAUUUGCAAGGCAUUGGCUCACGUACAUAUCACCUUACAACUUUCACAAGCAGAGAAGUGGCAGCUCUUAACAAGGUUUAAAUUACAUUUACUCUCCAUAGAGAGGAUGUGUAGCAGAAGAGGGGUUUAUUUCUGACUUACAGUGUACAUGUCAAACAAAUACAAUUAUCUGAGUCAUUAUAGCCACCAUCAUCAUAAUUAGCUUAAGUGAAGCUGUUUUUAGCUUUCAUAUAGCCUCAAUUUGCUGCAAAGCAAAUCACCAAAAUAAAUCAAUAUUUUACAACCUAGCAAACACUGUAGAUUUUUACAAGCAAAAAUUAACAACAACAAUAAAGCGCAAAAAGCCGCAUGCAAAAAUUCAAACUCAACACGCUGUGCCUGGGCAUUUCUGAAUGCAGCACAACUCCUUGCCUGGUUUCCCUGAGCUCACUGUGACAGUUUCCAACACCAGACACUUUCAUUGAAGCAAACAGGAAACAUGUAAAACCAAAUAAAUAAUGACAUGAAAUGAAGCUUUGAUUAGGAGUCUGUGAAUAACGACCCUUUUCAACCAGUCAGUGUCUGAGACGUUUAACAUGCUUUACAUUCGGAAUGUAUCAAGCAAGUUCCACCGAUUAGAUUUUUAUAUUGAGAGGAACGCAUUUUAUUAGAGAGGGAGCUUGUCGGGGCUUGGUGCCAAUCGGCUUCAACUGGUUGUGCUGCAAACACAUCCAGCACCCUCAUCCUGAGGACUGCAAGAGGGAACAUGUUUCAUAUUUUCCUCUUUCCUGUUCUGCUCUACAAAUUCAUAAGAGGCAAACGCCAGUUCUCCCUUGGGUCCUAUAGGGAAAAAAAAAAGCCAAAAAAGCUUUUCCAUGUCAUGAGGAAUUCAUCCUUUUAUAAAGCUGAAAAUUGCUAUUAUGUUUGGAUGCAUUUGAACAAAAAUUACUGCAAUGAAGAAAGUAUUAAUUAGCUGCAUUUCUCAAGUGAUCACAGUAUUCAGUGCACUCAAAAAGUGGAAAAAAAGACAUUUUUUUGUAAGUUCAAUUAGAUUGUGAUUUUUGUUGCCAGCAGUAUGACAGGGUCUAAAAGCACAGCACUACUACGAAUAAAGAGAAAAUCUGCAGGUGAAUAUUUUAGAAUGAGCUUUGGGGCAGGGGAUAUCAAUUCCAGCUUCAGAAAGGGAUAAAACUUCCUCAUGUUUCACAGCAUGAGCCAAGUUUUUUUUGUUGUUGUUGUUGUUGUUUUUUUUGAUGAAUACUAGAAUGGCAUAUAAACUGCAGCUACUUAAUUCCACACUUACCAUAUGGAUUUCACAUUUCCUCUACGGCAUCUGGCUCUGGCUAGUGCCAGAGAUGGGUUACUGGGUGAGAUGAACACUACCCCUACCCUGUCCCUUCUGUGUGGGAGGGGUGUUUUUAUGUCUUCUGCAUAUUAUCCUUUGGUGUCCUUUGCAUAAAUAGAGAAGUAUUUGCUGCGAGGAACUUCUUAGAAUAAGUCUAGGAUAUUCUUAUGCUUAUGCUGAGGUCGCGUGGUAUCACUGUAAUCACUGUGCUUUUAGCAUGUCAUCAUUUCACAGACUAGCAGUGUGAGCUAUCGUGGUGUUUGUGCAUAUAGCAAUAAAAAGUGAUAUCUUAGAAUAAGGUACACUAUUUAAUUAAUUAUCAUAUGCACUAAAUGCUAAUAUCCAGAAAAAGGGUAGCUGCGUACAACUUCCUUCAGCCUGAAGUUGGAAUGUAACCACGGGUCAGAAACUGAAAAUUCCACUUGCAUUAAAAUUACACUUUGUCAUUAGAAAUGUUUAUAUUUCAUUAAAAAAAAAAUCUUUCAUGUUUCUCUAUUCUUUAGAGAAGAAAUAACUAUUGUAUUUGGUUUGGAAUGGAUGAACAUAAUCUCAAAUCUUUGUUUGCAUCACUGUGCAGCAUACCAUUUUCUCAAAUGAAAGCUCUCAGUAUUUGCAGAGCAGAUGGCAGAAGUGUGUGUGAUUACCUCACUGCUUCUUUGUACUGAGCAGAGAUGGAGGCGAAUUAGGGCCCAUCAGCAGGAGGGGUGUUUGUUUUCUUCCCCAGCAAACCAUCAAAGAAUCCCGGAGCACGUCUUAACUAUUGAGACUGAAAAUUGGGUGAAUUUUGUCUGCCUGAUUCUAGUAAAGACUUUUGUAUUACUUAUAGGGAAAUUCUUUCAGAAAAGUUGCUGGAAACGGUGAGCGCCGUAUAGGAGAUAAUACAGUAACCAAUCUUAGGCCUUUCGUGCACAUGGAAGCUUUAACUGAGUAGAACUGUGAGAAAAAAGCUGUGUUGACCAAAGCCCAGGUACAGAUGAAAUUAUACAAGCAAAAAAAACCCAUUUGCCAAUACUUUCUUUGUUUCCUGUUGAGACAUCUGUAUGAUGCUUUUGCCAAUGCAGCCACUUUCCACGCCAAAUUCCCAGCUUGUGCAGCUCUACCUGCAGCCAAACAUUCGGAACGCAAACAAGGCUAAAGAUGGCUAAGUCAGUAUUAUUUCACAUCUUGGAGCAUGAAAAUUUCAGGUUCCUUACUAUUCCUGUUCUGGGGGAGAAGCUGUACUGCAGGAGUUAGCUCCUGAUUCUGCAGUUUUGUGUUGGGCCUGUGACAUUAAGGCACAGCACCGAUUUCUGUCAGGUCACACAGCCUGAAGCUGAGCGAAGCAACAGUGAGCAUGAAGAAAGGAUGCAGCCAAAGCCACCUCUGUACCAGCAGGAGUCAUACGCAGAGCUAGCUGCUGUGCAAAGCUCAGCAAAGCCACAUUUGGUGUAUGUGAUAUCCGGCUCUGUGCUCCUUGUGAUCCAAGGCCUGGACCCCUGCAGAGGGAUUUCUGGCACAGGAGGUGACAUAAAAUGGUGCCGGCAGCCACUCUUUGUGUCUACCAAAGGUUAUGGGCAGCUCGACAUUUUCCAGCGUUAAAUGCCAGAAAUCUGUUCACUGGAAAAAUUUAGGCAGUGCUAAUUAAAAAGUGAUAGCUUAAUGCUUCCCAAGACUCUGUUUUGAAUUGUGGAGGUAUUAUCUGGCCUGUAGCAACAGCUCUAUCGUCUGUCACAGUUCACUGAGACAGUCAUUUCCAGUGGAAACACAUUGGUUUAGACAAAACUUUGCCAGAAAUGCAAUUUAAAGGGAGAGACGGGGAGGUGAAAAUAAACAAGAACUCAGUGGUAAUUGCUGCUCUUUUAGGAAGCUGAGCACCAGUUCAGGUCUGUAGUGGGACUUGCGCAGAGCAGGGAGGUGCGCCUGCAGCCACGCAUUCUGACCUUACUCCUUCCUACUGGGCUCUUUGUGGUUUUAGGAUGGUUCAUACUUCUCCCUCCAGUUGGUUUGGUUUGUGAGAUUUAUUGGCAAGUUCCUGAUAAGCUACAGGAGUAUUUUUAGUCUUUAGUAACUACUGUGUGCUGCCGUUGCACAGAGACAGCAUCAUUCGCAUGCUUUAUUAGACAUUUGCCUAUUCUCCAGCACUUCUGUGCUGUAAUGGAUAAUUUGGCGAGAUGCAUAACAAAAUUUGUUAGCUGCUUUUUGUGUGUGUGUGUGUGUCAAGCUGGAAGCUCCUGUUUGACAUCCAUUUCUGUGGAAUUAGCCAAGUGGGGCAGCAAACAGAUUUGGUAUUUCUGCUCAUUGUAGCAUGGAAGGCAAAGGUUAUCACCACCACAGGACACAAGGAGGGGCGGGCACUCCUCUGGGCUGUCUCUGGAGCUGUGCUGAUGGUGUCUGGUGAAGCAGAUCUGCUGCAAAUUACAGCAUGUGGUUAUGCAUCAAUUUACGCUCCCGCCUGUUGCCAACAACGUGCUGUGCAUGAAUGGAGCUAACUUGGUAAAUAUGCUCUCUAGUAACUGAAAAUAACCAAGUGCUGUUGAAAGGAAUAAUUAAUCAAUGUUUGCAAAGCAUUUAGAAACUGAAAACCAUGGUAUUAGUGCUAAGUGUUCAGGGCUUUAGCUUUCCCAUCAGAAGUCUCAGUUUUUCUCUUUGUUAGUCUUUAACCAAACAAAACAUUAAGAGUGCAAAGUCUUUUUGUCUAAUGUCCCCAGUCAGGUGGUUUUGUGCUCGGCAGUUGUUAAAAUGCAGUAAGUAGACCAGAAGAAACUAUAAAUGGGGUGAAUCAGCUCAUUUCUACUGAUGCUGGCAGAAAUGAGUUGACUUAUGUUAGCUGGAGAUCAACAGCAGGCUCUGUAACACAAUUUCCUCCACUUGCCUAUUGGGCUCAGCCAGCCAGAACCAGUAACUGGCUUAUUCCCUGCAGCUCCCACCUCUCUGAACCCAGGUGCCAGGGAUGGAUACAACACUGUGUUAGGGCACAGGCUUCCCUGCACAGCGAGGCAGACAAAUUGUAUGGCUCAGAGCUGCUAUCUGAGGCAGCCAGCAUGCUCGAUGAACAGCCCAGUGAUACCCGUGAGCAGAAAUCCCAUUUAUCAGCUGUGCUGUGCAGAGAGGUGGCACUGAUGUCUGACCCCUGGCUCGAGAACUCAGGGGAACAAGGAAGCAUCUGUGUCUUUCCUUCCAAAGUGCCUUGGCUCCCUCACAAACAAGUCUUCAUGAAGCUGCAGUCCCCAGCAGAAUGGUGGUUUUACCUGGGAAGCCAAAAGGGCUGUAAGCUACUCAGCAGGAACCAUUUGGGGGUGAGGUGAGGGAUGAGGUUAUGCACUUAGACGGCCCCAGCCAGUCCCCCAUGCCCAUAUCUCUGUGUGCGCAACUGCUCCCUUCUCUGUUCUGAAGGCUAAUCUGUACCUCCAGACGUUUACAGUCAAUAUUCUUAUCUGCCUAGCGUGGUGUUAAUCUGUAUUUCAGAGAGGGAUGAGUGGGAAGACAGUCUUGUUGAAAACAGGGCACUGUGCAGAAGGCAGUUUAAGGCUAAUUGGAUGGAAAAAGCAUUGCACUGGUCCUUCAGAGCAUCUCUUUUUAGGGUUAUUGUAUGACUUUCCAACACAAGCUCCCUUUCUCCAGCCAGGAACUUUGUCAGACUAAGUCUGAUGAUGUUGAGCAUCUGUUCCACGCUCAGGACUAUCCAGCAGCUCACGCUGAGCUUCCAGAUUAAUGUAAAUCCAGACGAUGUGCCCACUUCAGCUGUGCAGUGCACGAGCACUGUGCCCAAGUAUACAUCACAUGAUGUCCCAGAACUGUUCCUAUGAAUGUGUUGAUGUAAAAAUAACUGAUUAUUCAGAUGCUAGUGGAAUUUUCAAGACAAACAGGGAGGCCCAUGUGCAUUUUAAGUACUUCCCAAGUAAAACAGCAGUUCAGCACAGGUAGGGAAGGAAAAAGGAUUACAUAUUUAGAUUAAGGUAUCUCAAUGUAUUUUUUGGAUCUUGCCUUUUUUGGAUCUGCUCAGUGCUGGUCUGACUCAUCUCUUAGGUGUUUCUACUCACAGGAGAUCAGUGACUUUGCUGCUGCUGGAUUGACUGGCAGAGUAAGGACAGUUACCUGCCAAGUAAAUCCAGUUAUUCAGCCCUUGCUGGUCCCAAAUAGAGCUCUGUGGCCUAUAAAGGGUCACAUUAAUUAAAAUAAGCCAUCAGAACAGCAGACGUGCUGGGUAUUCACCUCCGCACCAGCCCAGGGCAGAGCAUGUUCAGCUCACUUCAGCAGCAGUGCCACAAAAUCUCUUCAUGACGUUUUUGACAGAGCUAAGUAUUACCAAGAUUUUUUAAUAGUUACCUUUGUAAUUAGCCAUUUUAAAUUCAUUUACUGAAAAUGAGAGGGGCUGGAAUCCUCACGUGUCUUCCUUGCUCCUAUCUUUGCUCGAGUUCACCAUAGAGAGCUUAGUGCAAAAUCCAUAAAGAACCAAAAAAGUGCAUAUUUGAAAGAGCAAUUCAAGCAUAUGUAGAAUGUUCCUGGCUACAUGUAAUUGCAGGCAAGUACUGACAUUUCUGCUGUUCUGGACAAAUGUAUUUAUUUAUUACUUUAUUAACCCACCUCUUCUCUUCAGCAUGUGUUUCUUCUUCUCUCAUUUCCUAAUAUUCCCUGAGUAUUAUUUACCUGAUUUGCAUGACAUACAUGACAAUUGCUUGGGUAGAUCAAACCAAUGACACCACAGUGUUACAAAGAACUAGACGGGGUGUUGUAGUGCUUUUUGGAAGGGCAGAACUUUCCUUUCUUACUGGUACUACUUCCUCAAGUCAGCAGUGCUAUGAGAACUGUACUCCUCAAUUCCACAGCCAACACUGAUAUUCUGAGACAAACAUUCACCAUUCUUUGCUGCUCUGAGUAUUCUCUCACCCCAGAGAGGAAUGAUUUUAUUAAUUUAAACAGGAAGAAAUAUGUACAAAAAUGACCCAAAGUCUGAUAUAUACCUGUUGGUAUUGACUAAAUCCUUAUCCUGUGAGGGCAGUGUCAAGGCACCUAUUGAUUGUUCCUGAGUAAAUAUCUUGUUGAAGUGGCACUGUCUGUGAAAUUGAAUUACAUAAAUUUUAAUGCCUACAAUAAAAGUUCAUCAGAACUAGCACAGAAACUUCUCUACUUAACUGGAGGUUGACUCAGUUUAUGAAAUGGAGCGAUUUAUCUCCCAAUGGAUCAUGAUACAGGUAUCCAAGUGAACCAUCAGUAAUAAAUAUGGUAUUUCCUCUGUAGUGAUCUGAACAGUGAAUAAAGACUUAAUUUGCAAGUAUUUUCAGAAAUUGGGGGAAAACACAGCGAGUUCCCAAGGGUGCAAGUGGACUCGUUUGUAUUUAUAAGUAAGUCAACAUCAAGCUGAUGUGAUUAAACAGUUACUCUGUCAGUGACUUGGCCCUGUUCUUUUCUCCAUCUGGUAGGCAGGCAGGCAGAUUAAAUUUAUGCUGUGUGUUUAUUUUCUUGAAAUAAAAUGAGUUUUGUUUAUAUUUCGAGGCAGUAUGAUGUGGUAACAAAUGUACCAAAUAUAUUAACUUCAAAAAAAAAAGGAAAAAGAAAAGAGGAUUUAGACAAAAAAGAAGACGUGCCUCCCAAGGCACCAUACUUUAUUUAAAGGAAAUGGAAACACACCAUUUUUUUUUUAAAUGCUCAUUUACAGACUUUAAAGAAAAUUAAAUUUAUAGUUUAGCCUCUGAGUUCUGGAACUACCAGUUGUUUCCUGAAAGUGACUUUGUAAUGAGUUUUGGGAAAUCAUUUUAGUAUUGACUUGGGCUGUAAUGGUUGGCUGUUGCUUUUUUGAAUAAGAUUAAUUAAAUUACUCUGAACGAGCUCCAAGUCCAUGCCCUUCUCUGAGGCCAAUUGUGAAUAUGACCAUAAUAAACUCUUAAAAAGUAUUUCAGAAAGUAAAUAAUCUCCAAACCUGGAAGUAUGUCAUUGUGCUCUGGUAAGAAUAACAAACAGCAUUUGCUUCCUUGUUUCAACAUACAUCACUUUGCUUUCGUACCUUGCACUUUCCUCAGUUGUAAGAAGUGAGGGUUAUUUUUGUUUGGUUAAUUUUCUGUACAACAGCAGGAGAUAAUUUUGACUGCAUCUUAAAGAAAGAACCAGAUAAGAAGUAAGUGCAUAGGCACAAAUAAGAGCUGGCAGUUGUACUUCUGAUUUCAACUCUGAAAUGUAGGACUCCUCUUAGUUAUUCAUACUUCGGUAAGCUCAAAUAAAAUACGGACCACAUUAUAUCAGUCUCAAUAAAAACAUACGGAAGUGAAUGCUCUUAAUUUAUAGAAGCUUUGAAAAUCAAUGCCAAAUAUGCAAAGAUUCCAUAAACAGAGAGGUGAAAGGACUUAUCCAAAGCUCCUUUAUGUGCCUGGGCUGAUGACAGUUGACACCAGGUCUUCAGAGCGCCAUGCCAGCGUCCGGUCCAGCGAACACUGCUGCUGCUUGGUAAGCUGGACUGAGAUAUCUCCCCAGAUGCUGCUCUGAUUUUCCACAGAAAUGGUAAGUACUUGGAAAAAUAAGAUAAAAAAAAAGUAAAACAUACCCCAAGGGAAGCCACCAAAAAAUGAUGGGUGUAUGUCUCCCAUAGAACCAUGGGCAAGGUAGACAACAAGAACUGGUGAAAGAAUAGAAGCAAAAGGAAAGAAAACAGUAGAAGUUUGUGGAGUAAUUUAGUAUGAGCAGCUGCACAAAGUAUCUUAACAGCGACAGACCAUCUGCAGUCCCAGUACAGAGAAAGAUCAACAGCUUGUGUGGUAUGAGCUUCCAAAGGAGAGUCUGCUGCACUUCUCAAAUCUCCUGUGAGUUCUCUGAGAUGGAGUAGGUGAGCUGGGAGCACAGCACUCCUGAGAAAAUUUGGUUCUGUAAGGAUGGAGGUUGCUAGGGAGCAAAGCCCUCUUAUGCCAUAAGGAAGGAUUUCUGUUUCCUUGGCAUUACUUUCCUUGCUAGGAAGUCCUGCUCUCAUUCUUUAGGCCAAAAGAUCUGGGCAAGGCUGGUUUGAUGGGCAGAUGAGGGUGGCUGGCAAAGGCUGUGAAUUUUUCUUCUUCCUUGUUCUUAAGUGUCCUUAACCCGUGCUGACAAGAGUAAAAUAGAGACUUGGAGGUCUUAAAUAAACAGGAAUCUUGCAGGGUACAGGUUAAACUAACACUGACAGAGCCAGUAGCUGCAACAAUUUGUAAUUAUAUCCAUGAUCCCAGUGCUCUCUUUCUCAAGGCAAAAAGAUUUGGGUACCAACUUAUGGAGUGAAAUGUCAGUGUUCCCUGCAUUCCCUGCUCCACUGGUGUUCCUCUUUAGGUCUUUAGAAAGAGAACUACUUUGCUCCUAAAACUGAUUAAAGCAUGAAGGAUGAUCUGGUUGAGUGAAUGUGGUAAGAAAUGGCAACCUGUGUCAAAGUUUUUUUGCUCUUAUUUAGUUUAUAUAUUUGUGAUGUUUUUCUACUUUUGGUAGAGAUAAAAGAUUUAUAUUUCAAUGCCUCAAAUUUGAGCUCUAAUACUAUUUUUUACCUUCUACUCUUCUUUUUUCUCUUUAAUUUCUGGUAUUGUUGAGCUUUGGAAAAGAAGAAAUGUUCUCCUGGUAUAUGUACUGGUUUACUUUGUAUUAAUUUGAUUACAUUACUGAUAAACUGAAUUUACUGCUAGUCCACAAACAUGGUGGAUAUGAAUGCUUGCUUCUCACUGGUUUUCUUGAUGGAAUUUUAACCAUGUUUUGCUACAAAUGGAAUCUCAGUUAAAGGAGUAAUUAGUACUUCUGUCUGUUGAAAAUAAUAUUUUAAAUAGCUGUAGUUAAUCCUAAGAAUUGGAGAAUACUCCUUCAUGUAUUAACGUGUUAUUUUAUAUGUUUAUAUAUAUAUAUAUAUGUUAUAUAUA